AAGGCGUGUAUAAUGUGUGUGUG
rnacentral:siRNA from 1 species